GAUAGGUUGGCAGAGUUAUGCACUUGACUUAGGAUCAAAUCACAGGUAAAUACCUACCUAUCA
rnacentral:tRNA from 1 species